rnacentral:rRNA from 1 species
AAGUCGAACGAGAGAUGAGGAGCUUGCUCUUCAAAUCGAGUGGCGAACGGGUGAGUAACGCGUGAGGAACCUGCCUCAAAGAGGGGGACAACAGUUGGAAACGACUGCUAAUACCGCAUAAGCCCACAGCUCGGCAUCGAGCAGAGGGAAAAGGAGUGAUCCGCUUUGAGAUGGCCUCGCGUCCGAUUAGCUAGUUGGUGAGGUAACGGCCCACCAAGGCGACGAUCGGUAGCCGGACUGAGAGGUUGAACGGCC